AUCCACACAGCUUAUGUCAAGAAAACAGGAAGCAUCUGUCUCUGUGGGCAAUGGAAGAAAUAAUUCAUGGAUCCAUGUACAGGAUGUGAGAUUGAUAGCUGUAAUUUAGCAGUGGCUGUUCAGCACUUCUAUCAGCAAUGACAAAGUGGCUUGCAGUGCUACCUGUUCCUAAUCAAUCUCUUGAUCACAGUAUGGAAGGGAGCUGGGCUUACCCUCUGGAGAGAGAGAUCUUUUGAAACCAAGCAGCAGUGAAAUACAGCCAUAUGGGAUACCAUAUGGGAGGACAACAUCUGCAGAGGGCUUCAUCUUUUCUUUUUCAUAUUUUUCCACUUCUCAUCUUAUUGAAUUGUAAAGGGUCAUUAUAUUAACAUGUAAAUCAGCUUCACAGCCACAGCUGAAAAGCCUGCUACUGUGACUCAAACUCCUGUCGCAGAGAAACCUGAGCAACAGAGUCCAAUGGUGAUGUCACAGAAGCAGAGAAUUUCUGAUUUAAUUCUCCAGUGUGCAAAGUCUGGCCCUGUUGCAGAGGAUGGAGGUUGGUGGGGAGCAUUAUAUGGUUCAAUGUUGUGGGACCACCAAGGAGAAAUACCCCAAAUAGGUUGAGAACAGCCAUUCAUGGAGGACCAGUUUGGACUGGUUUUUAUUGUUAAUUUGUGAUUAAUGGAAAGACACAAUCUGCAAGUGAAUACACCCUGUGAUACUUCUAGAAGUAUGUAGAAAUAAUCUGCUGAAUUUCUUGUUUGACCUAUUUUGCAUAAAAUUCCUGGGCAGUGUAACAGAUAUUAAGCCAAUAGAGAUAUGUGCAAAUAGAAUACCAUAAAUUUCUUCCAACUCUAAUGAAAAAGAGAAUACUCUUUCAGAUUUUUAAUUUUGCAUUUUGCUAGCUGAUACCACUUAUUACAGAGGUCUCUCUGCUCUAAAAUUGGACAGAAAUAUUUCCAUUGAGUAAUGCUUCAAGUUUCCACUUGUAAACAGUUCAUUAACCAUUUCUUUUAACUAAAUGGUUAUUAAAAUAUUAUCUUCCUCUCCAUCAGAUCAAUAGGACCUUCUCCAGAGGUGCGUGGAGCCAGCUGUAACAAACAGUGUUCAUACUACAAGGGGCCUGUGCUGUUCAUGGCUUGUUUAUGGUUUGCUAGGGGUUAAUGUCCACAGCAAAGAUAUCAAAUAAAAUGUGACUUCUCUCCAGUGCCUGACCAGUCUGUUGGUGUCCUGUUAUGGGGACUCCACUGAACAAUCCACUGUACCCGAGGGUGGCCUGACUAACUUGAUCAGGGCCAUGUACCAACAGUGUAAGUGUUGAAUCCUUUAUUAUAAUUUAGGAAGAGACCCUCAUCCCCCACUUCUGGAUAUCCCUGCUUUUAGGUGACCAUGUCAUCUGCUGCUGGCAGCUGCAUUUAAACUGAAUUUAAAGCAGUACAGAGCCAAGCUCAAAUCACCAAUUAAAGUUGCUCAAGAUAGUCAUUCUUCAUGCCCUGAGUGCAAUUCUUACCCAGCAGAAGUUCCUGUGGGGGAGAAGACAGUUUCAGCCCACUGACUGAUCCCAGAACUUACAGUGAAGUCUUCCCUGACUUGUCCCCAUCCUUAAUGCACCGUCACACUAUUUCUUUCCUUUUAGGUAGAGCCUCCAGUCAUACACAUUUGUUUCUGAUGGGUGUACAAGUCUCUUGCUUUGCUCUGAGCAGUACAGCCAGUGAAGUAAGGACUCAUGCUGAGUGAGGGGUGGUUGUACCUUGGAGGCAGGUAACUUUGGGAUGGAUGUGUGGGUGAACCAAGCUCAUCUGCAGAGAGCUAUUUUGCCACAGUUGCUGGUUCAGUAGUGAGACAUCUCCUAUCUCCUU
ensembl:lncRNA